GGGACAUCUGGCAACAUGGGAGGUGUUUUGGGUUCUCGGAGCUGGAAGAAGAGAACUACUGGGCUCUGGCAGGAAGCCAGGGACACUGCCACCCACAGGGAGCCACAAGGACCAUGGAGCCCAAAGGCCAGUACUGCCUGCCAGACCAUGUUAGACCAAGCACAGGCCGCUGUUCGAUGGCUGAGCUCACCACCACCCUGCUCCUGCGCUCAACCUGCUGCUCCUCACUGAUGUCCAGGCUCCAGGCUCCCAGCCAUUUAGGUGAAAAACUAAGCCCACAACCAGUUGCUCCAAUGGCUCCAGCUUCAGGAUGUUUUUACUCGGCUGGGUGCAGAGGCACUUCACUGUCAACUCUGCUACUAGGGAGGCUGAGGAAAGAGGAUCACAAGUUGGAGCCUAGCCUGAGCAACUUAGCAAGACCUUGUCUCAAAAAUAAAAUAAAAUAAAAUGGCCUGAGAAUAAA
rnacentral:lncRNA from 1 species